rnacentral:rRNA from 1 species
UACGGGGGGAGCAAGCGUUGUUCGGAUUUACUGGGCGUAAAGGGCGCGUAGGCGGCCAGCACAAUUCAGUUGUGAAAUCUCCGAGCUUAACUCGGAAAGAUCAACUGAUACUGUGCGGCUAGAGUGCGGAAGGGGCAACUGGAAUUCUUGGUGUAGCGGUGAAAUGCGUAGAUAUCAAGAGGAACACCUGCGGCGAAGGCGGGUAGCUGGGCCGACACUGACGCUGAUGCGCGAAAGCCAGGGGAGCGAACGGG